rnacentral:misc_RNA from 1 species
AAGAGACGUUUGCCCUUCGGGGUAUACCUCCCACCCUUUGUUUAUUAGUACCUUUGUUGCUUAUGGCGGGCCCCGUCCUCGGACCACCGGCUUCUGCUGGGUCCAGUGCCCGCCAGAGGACCUACAAACUCUGUUUGUUAAUAUUGUCUGAGUACUAUAUAUACAUAGUUA